rnacentral:pre_miRNA from 1 species
UUAACUCAACAUUGUAUGGAGUUGUUGCGUUUGCCUACGUUUGCCGCUAGGGGCGCUGUUCCAACUGUAGGUAUACAAAUUUGAGUUA